AUUGAACGCUGGCGGCAUGCCUUACACAUGCAAGUCGAACGGCAGCGCGGGGCAACCUGGCGGCGAGUGGCGGACGGGUGAGUAAUAUAUCGGAACGUACCCUGGAGUGGGGGAUAACGUAGCGAAAGUUACGCUAAUACCGCAUACGAUCCAAGGAUGAAAGCAGGGGACCGCAAGGCCUUGUGCUCCUGGAGCGGCCGAUAUCUGAUUAGCUAGUUGGUGGGGUAAAGGCCUACCAAGGCAUCGAUCAGUAGCUGGUCUGAGAGGACGACCAGCCACACUGGAACUGAGACACGGUCCAGACUCCUACGGGAGGCAGCAGUGGGGAAUUUUGGACAAUGGGCGCAAGCCUGAUCCAGCAAUGCCGCGUGAGUGAAGAAGGCCUUCGGGUUGUAAAGCUCUUUUGUCAGGGAAGAAACGGUGGAGGCUAAUAUCCUUUGCUAAUGACGGUACCUGAAGAAUAAGCACCGGCUAACUACGUGCCAGCAGCCGCCGUAACAC
rnacentral:rRNA from 1 species